UCUAUAAUUUUAGUAAAUAAUAAUAAUUUACGUCAAACAUGCAAAUUUAACAGAAAAAAAAGCCUCCACAAAAUUAGUGCCACUUUAUUUUUAAAAUAAAAAAUAAAAACAAAAAAAAAGGUUCUGAAAUUGAAAACUCUUUAGCACCCUCUGCCUUCACAUUUUUAACUCGGCGCAGGGCCGAGGUUUGGUUUGCUUGCAUAAGCUUUAUUGUUUGUCGAGCGUCGUCGUCGUCGUCGUUGUGGCGUUCAAAGAACUUCCGGCGGAUAAAAGUGCUGAUGCAUCUAAAAUACCGAUCUUCCUAAUUAAUGCAUGUAAAGCACCGUGCGGUUAAAAUUGGAUCAAACGUUUUUUUCGGCGUACCUAUGUAACUACCUGAAUUGGAAAAUAACAAAAUUAAUAACAACUUCAGGUACACAGAACAGUAUUUUCAAUCAGCUGACUGUCAAAACUGAGUGAAAUAUGACAGAAGUGUUCUCCCACAGACCUGUUUGAUUACAAAUUUUGUGUAGCCAGUGGUGAAUUCAAUUUGUAUCUAUUACUAAAGGUUUAUCCACAAUUAUGGAGAACAUUUUUAUUUUGAUUAAAUAAAGGAUACCACAAAAAAAAAUGAUUUUGUCUGGAAUAUACUUAAAAACUUUUCAAAAAGGAUUUACUCGUAU